rnacentral:rRNA from 1 species
GUCGCAUGCUCCCGGCCGCCAUGGCGGCCGCGGGAAUUCGAUUAGAGUUUGAUCAUGGCUCAGAUUGAACGCUGGCGGCAGGCCUAACACAUGCAAGUCGAGCGGUAGAGAGAAGCUUGCUUCUCUUGAGAGCGGCGGACGGGUGAGUAAUGCCUAGGAAUCUGCCCGGUAGUGGGGGAUAACGUUCGGAAACGGACGCUAAUACCGCAUACGCCCUACGGGAGAAAGCAGGGGACCUUCGGGCCUUGCGCUAUCAGAUGAGCCUAGGUCGGAUUAGCUAGUUGGUGGGGUAAUGGCUCACCAAGGCGACGAUCCGUAACUGGUCUGAGAGGAUGAUCAGUCACACUGGAACUGAGACACGGUCCAGACUCCUACGGGAGGCAGCAGUGGGGAAUAUUGGACAAUGGGCGAAAGCCUGAUCCAGCCAUGCCGCGUGUGUGAAGAAGGUCUUCGGAUUGUAAAGCACUUUAAGUUGGGAGGAAGGGCAGUAAAUUAAUACUUUGCUGUUUUGACGUUACCGACAGAAUAAGCACCGGCUAACUCUGUGCCAGCAGCCGCGGUAAUACGAAUCACUAGUGAAUUCGCGGCCGCCUGCAGGUCGACCAUAUGGGAGAGCUCCCAAAGCGUUGGA